rnacentral:rRNA from 1 species
AACGAACGCUGGCGGCAGGCCUAACACAUGCAAGUCGAGCGCCCCGCAAGGGGAGCGGCGGACGGGUGAGUAACGCGUGGGAACGUGCCCCUUUCUACGGAAUAGCCCCGGGAAACUGGGAGUAAUACCGUAUAAGCCCUACGGGGGAAAGAUUUAUCGGGAAGGGAUCGGCCCGCGUUGGAUUAGGUAGUUGGUGGGGUAAUGGCCUACCAAGCCGACGCUCCAUAGCUGGUUUGAGAGGAUGAUCAGCCACACUGGGACUGAGACACGGCCCAGACUCCUACGGGAGGCAGCAGUGGGGAAUCUUAGCCAAUGGGCGCAAGCCUGAUCUAGCCAUGCCGCGUGAGCGAUGAAGGCCUUAGGGUUGUAAAGCUCUUUCAGUGGGGAAGAUAAUGACUGUACCCACAGAAGAAGCCCCGGCUAACUCCGUGCCAGCCGCCGCCGUAAUAC